rnacentral:antisense_RNA from 1 species
GCAGGGCAGACAAUGAUGGUAGAGUCUGCAGCAAAGACACAGGCUCCUUGAAGACGCCCGUGGCGAGAUCAGCCCCAGGUCGCCGCUUCCACAGACGGGCCUUUUCCUAAAGUGGAUGAAGGGAGUCAAAUAGGCCAGCUUCCUGUCUUGAUCUGCCUUUGCUGUCGUUCACGCAUCUGUCCCCUCAUGAAGGCUUAACCUACCAUGUCUAUCAGAAGUCUCAGCCUAAAUUCAUUCGAUUUUUACCUAGAGAUGAGGAAUGUGUUAAAUCACUCUACUCCACAAGGAACCAAACCAAACAGCAUCAGCACCAGGCUGAGUCGCGGAAAGGAUCUGUCAGACCGCUCCACUGGCAUCAACUCAGCUCGGGAGCUACGUUCAAAGGAGGGACCCAAGGAUUGAGAAGAACAAUGGUCUUUUGGAUGUGUGGUGCAACAAACGCAUAGCUGAGGGCUGUAAAUCGGGACGGAUCAGUAGGUCUGCCCACCAGCCGUGAGGGAAGUGGGGAGAAGCUGUCACCCCAACUUGAGUUCAAGAAGACUC